CACGAAUAAGGACUGGGCAAGACCGGUGCCAGCCGCCGCGGUAAUACCGGCAGUCCGAGUGAUGGCCGAUCUUAUUGGGCCUAAAGCGUCCGUAGCUGGCUGAACAAGUCCGUUGGGAAAUCUGUCCGCUUAACGGGCAGGCGUCCAGCGGAAACUGUUCAGCUUGGGACCGGAAGACCUGAGGGGUACGUCUGGGGUAGGAGUGAAAUCCUGUAAUCCUGGACGGACCGCCGGUGGCGAAAGCGCCUCAGGAGAACGGAUCCGACAGUGAGGGACGAAAGCUAGGGUCUCGAACCGGAUUAGAUACCCGGGUAGUCCUAGCUGUAAACGAUGUCCGCUAGGUGUGGCGCAGGCUACGAGCCUGCGCUGUGCCGUAGGGAAGCCGAGAAGCGGACCGCCUGGGAAGUACGUCUGCAAGGAUGAAACUUAAAGGAAUUGGCGGGGGAGCACUACAACCGGAGGAGCCUGCGGUUUAAUUGGACUCAACGCCGGACAUCUCACCAGCCCCGACAGUAGUAAUGACGGUCAGGUUGAUGACCUUACCCGAGGCUACUGAGAGGAGGUGCAUGGCCGCCGUCAGCUCGUACCGUGAGGCGUCCUGUUAAGUCAGGCAACGAGCGAGACCCGCACUCCUAAUUGCCAGCAGUACCCUUUGGGUAGCUGGGUACAUUAGGUGGACUGCCGCUGCCAAAGCGGAGGAAGGAACGGGCAACGGUAGGUCAGUAUGCCCCGAAUGGGCUGGGCAACACGCGGGCUACAAUGGUCGAGACAAUGGGAAGCCACUCCGAGAGGAGGCGCUAAUCUCCUAAACUCGAUCGUAGUUCGGAUUGAGGGCUGAAACUCGCCCUCAUGAAGCUGGAUUCGGUAGUAAUCGCGUGUCAGCAGCGCGCGGUGAAUACGUCCCUGCUCCUUGCACACACCGCCCGUCAAAUCACCCGAGUGGGGUUCGGA
rnacentral:rRNA from 1 species